GCAGAAGGGAUCAUGGUUUGAUGUUCAAGCUUAUAUUUAUGCUCAGUACUCUAGCGAACAUUGCACGCUAACUCCUACGUGAAGUGACUUGAUUCUAGCCUAAGCCAAACUCAUAAGUGAAAGGCAUUGCAAGGAGGGGCCGUGAUCAUGUGAUCAGGGAGAAAGCCGGGAUCUUAUUCUCUUCCCUGUUUCCCGGAAAUCCAAGAUGGUGACAUUUGUAAAGUUUUAAUAAUAAUCGGCUAACUUCAAAGUGACACCUUCUUCGGGCUGUGUUUGCGCUGGAUCCUGUGAUUGGUACAGAUACUAGGACAGUUCAGGAACAUACGCCUUGAAAAGCCUCAAGUAUUUUUGAUCCUUUUUUUUUUUUUUUUUUUUCUGUGACCAGUUACAGACAGAAGUAAAUGUGCUCAUACACUGGGGCAGGCAAUUACUGUACGGACUUGACAAAUUUUAUUAAAUCUAGGAGCUAGAAUUUUUAGAGCAUCAAUAUAAGGACAUUAUAGAUUGUGUGUAUAAUAAUCAAACCUACACACAGCCUUGUUUGUUAUGCUAUGCGUUGAUAGAUCAUGAAGAUUUCUUUGCUAAUAAACAUUGAUGUUUUGUGCCA